UUGGCUUAAAAAUGGUUAAUUUUGAGCUCCCUGUGUAGUUACUGCUUGUCACAGCUGGGGAUGAAACCCCAUUCAGCCUUCACCUGUUUGUCUUGCCCCAUCGACUUUGUUGAAAAUAAACUUCCACAAAUGUUACCUGUAACAAAUAGUAGUAAUUUGCUGUGAUUUCACCAAGAAACUUGCAAUGAGAUUGUCUUAGAGCGUUUUACUACAUGUUUUGAAAGAGGUCAGUUGUGUAAAUUCUUUCUCUUUACCAAGUGGAAAUUAAUUUGGUUCUUCUUUCCCAAAGCAACGUUUCUAGAGCCCUAUAGGAGCUUUCUGCUGAAAAAGGCCUCUUUAAAUACAUGACGGAUCUGUAGAUUAAUUUGAAACUGUUUAAAAGUUUCUCAAGUGUCAUUUAACAUUUUUUUGCAAAGUGUAGAAAAAUAUUUAACUGUGGUCUUCCUGGAUAAAGCUGAUACACUUAAUACAGUUUAGAAUGUAAAUCUUCUUUGUAAAAUUUACUUCCAUUUUUUUUUUGCCUGUAUAGAAACAAAUCUCAGUUGUGAAAUCCAAAGAUGAAUAAAACUGUCUAAAGGGAA